AACGAACGCUGGCGGCAGGCCUAACACAUGCAAGUCGAGCGCCCCGCAAGGGGAGCGGCGGACGGGUGAGUAACGCGUGGGAAUAUGCCCUUUGCUACGGAAUAGUCUCGGGAAACUGGGGGUAAUACCGUAUACGCCCUUUGGGGGAAAGAUUUAUCGGCGAAGGAUUAGCCCGCGUUGGAUUAGGUAGUUGGUGGGGUAAUGGCCUACCAAGCCGACGAUCCAUAGCUGGUUUGAGAGGAUGAUCAGCCACACUGGGACUGAGACACGGCCCAGACUCCUACGGGAAGCAGCAGUGGGGAAUCUUAGACAAUGGGGGCAACCCUGAUCUAGCCAUGCUGCGUGAGUGAUGAAGGCCUUAGGGUUGUAAAGCUCUUUCAGCUGGGAAGAUAAUGACGGUACCAGCAGAAGAAGCCCCGGCUAACUCCGUG
rnacentral:rRNA from 1 species